UACGAGGGGGGCAAGCGUUGUUCGGAAUUACUGGGCGUAAAGGGCUCGUAGGCGGCCAACUAAGUCAGACGUGAAAUCCCUCGGCUUAACCGGGGAACUGCGUCUGAUACUGGAUGGCUUGAGUUUGGGAGAGGGAUGCGGAAUUCCAGGUGUAGCGGUGAAAUGCGUAGAUAUCUGGAGGAACACCGGUGGCGAAGGCGGCUUCCUGGACCGACACUGACGCUGAGGCGCGAAAGCCAGGGGAGCAAACGGG
rnacentral:rRNA from 1 species